GGGCCUGUAGCUCAACGGUAGAGCAGCCGGCUCAUAACCGGUCGGGUGCAGGUUCGACCCCUGCCAGGCCCA
rnacentral:tRNA from 1 species